rnacentral:rRNA from 1 species
UACAGAGGGGGCAAGCGUUGUUCGGAAUUACUGGGCGUAAAGGGCGCGUAGGCGGCCUGCUAAGUCGAACGUGAAAUCCCCGAGCUCAACUCGGGAACUGCGUCCGAUACUGGCAGGCUUGAAUCCGGGAGAGUGAUGCGGAAUUCCAGGUGUAGCGGUGAAAUGCGUAGAUAUCUGGAGGAACACCGGUGGCGAAGGCGGCAUCCUGGACCGGCAUUGACGCUGAGGCGCGAAAGCCAGGGGAGCAAACGGG